UACGGAGGGAGCUAGCGUUGUUCGGAAUUACUGGGCGUAAAGCGCGCGUAGGCGGCUUUGUAAGUUAGAGGUGAAAGCCCGGGGCUCAACCCCGGAACUGCCUUUAAGACUGCAUCGCUUGAAUCCGGGAGAGGUGAGUGGAAUUCCGAGUGUAGAGGUGAAAUUCGUAGAUAUUCGGAAGAACACCAGUGGCGAAGGCGGGCUCACUGGACCGGUAUUGACGCUGAGGUGCGAAAGCGUGGGUAGCGAACAGG
rnacentral:rRNA from 1 species